GAUGAACGCUAGCUACAGGCUUAACACAUGCAAGUCGAGGGGCAGCAUGGUCUUAGCUUGCUAAGGCCGAUGGCGACCGGCGCACGGGUGAGUAACACGUAUCCAACCUGCCGUCUACUCUUGGACAGCCUUCUGAAAGGAAGAUUAAUACAAGAUGGCAUCAUGAGUUCACAUGUUCACAUGAUUAAAGGUAUUCCGGUAGACGAUGGGGAUGCGUUCCAUUAGGUAGUAGGCGGGGUAACGGCCCACCUAGCCGACGAUGGAUAGGGGUUCUGAGAGGAAGGUCCCCCACAUUGGAACUGAGACACGGUCCAAACUCCUACGGGAGGCAGCAGUGAGGAAUAUUGGUCAAUGGGCGAGAGCCUGAACCAGCCAAGUAGCGUGAAGGAUGAAGGUCCUACGGAUUGUAAACUUCUUUUAUACGGGAAUAAAGUAUCCUACGUGUAGGAUUUUGUAUGUACCGUAUGAAUAAGCAUCGGCUAACUCCGUGCCAGCAG
rnacentral:rRNA from 1 species